rnacentral:lncRNA from 1 species
CCUCUGUCAGCAGGCAUUGACCUUUGCCUAAAGUUCUCUCAUGUCAAAGCACUCACGGUCUUCUGAGUUAAUAGCUUGAGACAUUCCUAACUACUAGACGUUGUGGCAGAAACUUAUCUUUCUGAGAUUCCUGCUUAUGAGUUUUGGAUCUUUGGGGCCAUGCACAACUAUUAAGAUCUGAAGAGUUAUCAUGGCUUCCUGAAUCUUUAAUCAUUAGGCUAAUGCAAAUGACAGAAUUUCCUUCUUGUUUAAGGCUGAAGAGCAUUCCAUUAUGUACAUAUACAACAUUUUCUUUAUCCAUUCAUCAGUUGAUGGACACUUAAGUUGAUUGCAUAUCUUGGACACGGUGAAUCGUGCUGCAGUGAACAUGAGAGUGCAAAUA